CUACAUCCUUCCCUCCAAGAACUUCCCACUUUGCUGUUAGGGAAACAUGAACUCACGACCUCUCGGUUAGAAAUGAAGGUUGCUUACCAUCAGAGCAACCCCUCUUGUCUAAAAUAAAUUAUGGAUAUUGUCAAGUUAGCAAGAUCUUGAAGAAGCCACAGACCCAAAACCCUUCUGUAAACAACAAAACUGUAUCUUGUUAACUAAAAGUAAUAUAAAUCACAAUUUC
rnacentral:lncRNA from 1 species